rnacentral:lncRNA from 1 species
AACUCACAGUCUGACCAGAGGAUGGUUGCGUUGAUGAGGUCUGUAUGGGCCACCCUUUCAUGUAUGACUGCUGUGCUGUGUAGCACUUAAGCUCUGCAAUGUUGAUUCUUCAGGCUUUGUAUUUUCCUUUCAGCUUGUAUUAAGCAUAUGUUGCUUCUCUGUACACAGGCAUCUCAAAGAAUUUCUCAGCUGCCUUUCUGUCAUCCCUGAGUCCAAAUUACAACUGUCAAUUAUACAUGAAAGGAGAGCCGUAUGGGCGGCCGAGCUGGCCCCAUGGAUCAGCGCCCGCCGCUCUGCUCACGCAAGGGAGUAAGUCUGGGAAACGUCAACGCAUAAAACCUCUGUCAGCCCUGGCUUGCAAAUUUAGAAAUGAGUCAAGUCAUCAAAGCAUGUAUUUUACUAAUAAAUCAUGUCUGAAACUCUGUGCUAUGCAAAUGAGCAAUGUAACCAGGACAUAAGCAAGACUGACUUUGUUCCUAUAAAAAGAUUUGCUUACUUUUAAAUGACGGGUUUGAAAUGAUUGAGGGGAGAGAAAAGACAUGAAAAAAACUGUGACACA